rnacentral:rRNA from 1 species
ACGGGGUGCAGCAGGCGCGAAAACUUUACAAUGCGGGCAACCGUGAUAAGGAAACCCCGAGUGCCACCACAGGGUGGCUGUCCACCAGUGUAAACAACUGGUGAAGAAAGGGCCGGGCAAGGCCGGUGCCAGCCGCCGCGGUAAUACCGGCGGCUCGAGUGGUGGCCGCUUUUACUGGGCUUAAAGGGUCCGUAGCUGGAUCUGUGUGUCCCUUGAGAAAUCCAUCGGCUUAACUGAUGGGCGUUCAGGGGAAACUGCAGUUCUAGGGACCGGGAGAGGUGAGAGGUACUGCCGGGGUAGGAGUGAAAUCCUGUAAUCCCGGUGGGACGACCUAUGGCGAAGGCAUCUCACCAGAACGGCUCCGACAGUGAGGGACGAAAGCUGGGGGAGCAAACCGGAUUAGAUACCCGGGUAGUCCCAGCUGUAAACUAUGCGCAUUAGGUGUGUCAGUGACCACGUGUCACUGAGGUGCCGAAGGGAAACCGUGAAAUGCGCCGCCUGGGGAGUACGGUCGCAAGGCUGAAACUUAAAGGAAUUGGCGGGGGAGCACA